GAGUUGGUAUUCUGUUUGAAUUACAAAGAUGUUUUUAUCUCAGCAGCCUGAAAACAUACUAAUUUUAUAUUAAAUCAGUUUAUUAUUUAUAUUUGGUAAAAUUAGUACAAAAUUUUCAGUUAAAUCAAUUUAUCGUUUGUAUUCGGAAAAUUAGUACAAAAUAAUCAUUCAGUAACUUGUUCUUGUCUUCCAGCGAGGAUGAACUGGAAGAGGCAAAUGGAAACAAUCCCAUUGACAUUGAGGUUGAUCAAAACAAGGAAAGCAAAAAGGAGGUUCCCCCUACUGAGACAGUUCCUCAGGUC
rnacentral:lncRNA from 1 species